rnacentral:lncRNA from 1 species
CGGACACAGGUGGGAUUUUGGGGCUGUUCCCCCGUCCUUUUUCCCACUGGGAAUCUCAUUUAGGAUCAGGGAAAUCAUCCCCAGUGCCGUGGUUUGGGAUCGGAGCUGAAGGAUCCCGACCCCUCCGUCCUGGAUCCUGGAUUCCUGAAGCUGUGGGAUCAGGGAAAACAUAAAAAAAAAAAACCCCCCAAAAAAAGAGGGAAUUUGGGCAAAAAUAAAAGCUGGCAAGAGAUUUUUUUUGGGGGUGGAAAGCCAGGAAUUCAGCUUGGUGACUCGGCAGAAUUCCAGAAUCCCUGAGGUUGGAAAAUCCCUCCAGGAUCACCCAGUCCAAGCUGUGCCUGAUCCCCACCAGACCAAGGUCUGGGAAUUCCGACGGGAAAUUUAGACCCCCCCCCAAAAAAUUGGAUUUUAAAGGAUUUAAAUCCCCCUUUUCCAGUGCUCUGUUCCAUGAGAAACGAGGGGAUGGCACGAAGGAGAAAUAAAUGGAUUUUGUCCUGCGAGAGCAGCCAGGAAUUUGGGAUUUAAACCCGAAAAAAAUGCGGAUUUUCCCUGUCCUUGGUGCUGGAAGUUCAUCCCAAUCCCGCAGCUGCCAGGAUUGAGGAGCAAUUCCCACCUCCAGCAGCUCCCAGGGGUUUUGGGAUCAGGUUUUUACCCCGGCCUGAACCUCCUGAGCUGAGUACACGACGGUGUAUGCCGAGGUGGGGCCUGCCCAGCAGCAGCGCAUCCCGAAAGGAAUUAAAGCCAAGCCAGCGGACGGGGAAUCUUCCAGAAGCGUUUAUGCCCUGGUCAAUCGCCCGGAGCAGGUGAGCUGGGAACAUCCCGGGGCUGGAGCUCCUGGAGUUGGGA